rnacentral:rRNA from 1 species
UAAUACUUUGAUUUUAGGUAAUUUAUUAAUUAUGAGUUUCUUAUACAUGUGAAUUUUUUAAUUAAUUUUUUUUAUGGCAGUAUUUAAUUUUAUUAAUUAAUUAAUGUUAGAAUUGGGUAUACUUUUUUUUAUUGUGAAAUUUUGUGCCAGCACAUGCGGUUAUACAAUUAAUGAUAUUUAAUAUUUUUUUAUUAAAAGUUAAAUAUUUUUUGUUUAAUUUAUAUUUAUUUAUUUUCAGGUGAAAUUUAAAUGUUAUUUAAUUUAAUUUUUGAUUCUUUGAAAUUUUAUUUUUAGACUAGGAUUAGAUACCCUAUUAUUUAAAAUGUUAAUUUUAAUUGGGUAUUAAUAGUUAUGUUCUUUAAACUUAAUGAAUUUGGCGGUGUUUUAGUCUAUUUAGAGGAACUUGUCUUUUAAUCGAUAAUCCUCGUUUUAUCUUGCUUGUUUUUGUUUUCAGUUUGUAUAUCUCCGUUAUAAGUUUAUUCUUUCAGGUUAAUUUACUAUUUAUUAAUUAAAUUUUAUUUCAGGUCAAGGUGCAGCUUAUAUAUAAGUAUUGAUUAGUUACACUUAUUUUUAAUUAAACGGAUUUAAUUUGAAAUUUUUAAUGAAGGUGGAUUUAAUAGUAAAUUUAUUUAUAGAGUUAAAUUGACUUUGGCUCUAGAAUGAGUACAUAUUGCCCGUCACUCUCAAUUUAUUUGAGAUAAGUCGUAACAUAGUAGAUGUACUGGAAAGUGUAUCUUGUUUUA